CCGGGCCACGUCCACGGCACGGUGAGGCGCAAAGGCGUCUUGCAGCCCCACCCCCUACCCCCACCCCCCACUCGACGCUCUCUAAACUGCCGCGACCGACCCGGUGAGACAAGCAGCUGGAAACUCCUGCGGCCGUCCCCACCGCACGCCACACAUUCCUCAGAGGGAUGGAGAGGAUUUGGAUCCUUCUCACAGAGCAUAAAUAGUAUUAUGAAGAGCCAUUUAAGAAAUGGACAAUGGAAAUGUGGAAUCUGAGUGUGGAGAAGAAAGGCCUGAAGGCAGCAGGAUAAGAUUCUGUAUCUUUGAAUAGAAGACAACCUUUAUGUGCCUCAUGCCUGAUGCUGGUGAGACUUCCCAAUGUCCCUUCCAUGUACCUUCCCUUUACCUAAACUGGCUUAAGGGGAUAUUUGCUUCUUGCAUCGACCAAAUUCUAACUAGGAUGAAAACACCAUGGGCCAUAGCACAAGAAGUGAACCAGAAGUGAAGUUUGGUUUGGGGCUCAGUGCAUGAAGAGUUCUUUGCAAAGAAGCAGUGGAGAGGGUUCGAUCACAACCAACAGAUCUCUACUAUGAGAAUCAAGAGAUAUUUUUUUAUGAGCAUAAUGUCUGGGCUGGACAUGAGUGUGAAGUGGAAGACAAAGCUGAAGUUUCUUUUUAAAUAUUUUAUGAAAAAACAAAACAAAUUUUUAUAACAAAAUAAUAAGAAUAACAAUAGUUAAUACACUGUGUAUCAUUGUCUUCAAAGUAGUUACUCUGAGUGUAAGACAUAGACAAAAAUGAUUCUCUCUUACAAUGAAG
rnacentral:lncRNA from 1 species